rnacentral:rRNA from 1 species
AGUGAACGCUGGCGGUAGGCCUAACACAUGCAAGUCGAACGGCAGCACAGUAAGAGCUUGCUCUUACGGGUGGCGAGUGGCGGACGGGUGAGGAAUACAUCGGAAUCUACUUUUUGUGGGGGAUUACGGUGGGAAAACUUACCCAAUAACCCCAUAGGCCCUCGGGGGAAAAGCAGGGAAUCUCCGAACUUGCGCGGAUGAAUUGGGCGAAGUCGGAUUAGCUAGUUGGGGGGGUAAAGGCCCACCAAGGCGACGAUCCGUAGCUGGUCUGAGAGGAUGAUCAGCCACACUGGAACUGAGACACGGUCCAGACUCCUACGGGAGGCAGCAGUGGGGAAUAUUGGACAAUGGGCGCAAGCCUGAUCCAGCCAUACCGCGUGGGUGAAGAAGGCCUUCGGGUUGUAAAGCCCUUUUGUUGGGAAAGAAAAGCAGCAGGUUAAUACCCCGCUGUUCUGACGGUACCCAAAGAAUAAGCACCGGCUAACUUCGUG